AACGUAGGUGGCAAGCGUUAUCCGGAUUUACUGGGCGUAAAGGGUGUGCAGGCGGGCGGUCAAGUGGUGUAUGAAAUAUCCUGGCUCAACCAGGAGAGGUUAUGCCAGACUGACCGUCUUGAGUGCGAGAGAGGGGCGUGGAAUUCCGGGUGUAGUGGUGAAAUGCGUAGAGAUCCGGAGGAACCCCAGAGGCGAAGGCGGCGCCCUGGCUCGCAACUGACGCUCAUACACGACAGCAUGGGGAGCAAACAGG
rnacentral:rRNA from 1 species